rnacentral:rRNA from 1 species
UACGUAGGGUGCAAGCGUUAAUCGGAAUUACUGGGCGUAAAGUGUGCGCAGGUGGCCGCGCAUGUCGAGUGUGAAAUCCCCGGGCCUAACCUGGGAACUGCAUUUGUGACUGCAUGGCUAGAGUUUGUCAGAGGGGGGUGGAAUUCCACGUGUAGCAGUGAAAUGCGUAGAUAUGUGGAGGAACACCGAUGGCGAAGGCAGCCCCCUGGGAUGUGACUGACGCUCAUGUACGAAAGCGUGGGGAGCAAACAGG